rnacentral:rRNA from 1 species
GUGGGGGAUAACUAGUCGAAAGACUAGCUAAUACCGCAUACGACCUGAGGGUGAAAGUGGGGGACCGCAAGGCCUCAUGCUAUAGGAGCGGCCGAUGUCUGAUUAGCUAGUUGGUGGGGUAAAGGCCCACCAAGGCGACGAUCAGUAGCUGGUCUGAGAGGACGAUCAGCCACACUGGGACUGAGACACGGCCCAGACUCCUACGGGAGGCAGCAGUGGGGAAUUUUGGACAAUGGGGGCAACCCUGAUCCAGCAAUGCCGCGUGUGUGAAGAAGGCCUUCGGGUUGUAAAGCACUUUUGUCCGGAAAGAAAUCGCACUGGUUAAUACCUGGUGUGGAUGACGGUACCGGAAGAAUAAGGACCGGCUAACUACGUGCCAGCAGCCGCGGUAAUACGUAGGGUCCAAGCGUUAAUCGGAAUUACUGGGCGUAAAGCGUGCGCAGGCGGUUGUGCAAGACCGAUGUGAAAUCCCCGGGCUUAACCUGGGAAUUGCAUUGGUGACUGCACGGCUAGAGUGUGUCAGAGGGAGGUAGAAUUCCACGUGUAGCAGUGAAAUGCGUAGAGAUGUGGAGGAAUACCGAUGGCGAAGGCAGCCUCCUGGGAUAACACUGACGCUCAUGCACGAAAGCGUGGGGGAGCAAACAGGAUUAGAUACCCUGGUAGUCCACGCCCUAAACGAUGUCAACUAGUUUGUUGGGGAUUCAUUUCCUUAGUAACGUAGCUAACGCGUGAAGUUGACCGCCUGGGGAGUACGGUCGCAAGAUUAAAACUCAAAGGAAUUGACGGGGACCCG